ACGAACGCUGGCGGCGCGCCUAACACAUGCAAGUCGCACGAGCGAGAGAGAGCUUGCUUUCUCAAGCGAGUGGCGAACGGGUGAGUAACGCGUGAGGAACCUGCCUCAAAGAGGGGGACAACAGUUGGAAACGACUGCUAAUACCGCAUAAGCCCACAGGUCGGCAUCGACCAGAGGGAAAGGGAGCAAUCCGCUUUGAGAUGGCCUCGCGUCCGAUUAGCUAGUUGGUGAGGUAACGGCCCACCAAGGCAACGAUCGGUAGCCGGACUGAGAGGUUGAACGGCCACAUUGGGACUGAGACACGGCCCAGACUCCUACGGGAGGCAGCAGUGGGGAAUAUUGCACAAUGGGGGAAACCCUGAUGCAGCGACGCCGCGUGGAGGAAGAAGGUCUUCGGAUUGUAAACUCCUGUUGUUGAGGAAGAUAAUGACGGUACUCAACAAGGAAGAGACGGCUAACUACGUG
rnacentral:rRNA from 1 species